rnacentral:rRNA from 1 species
UACAGAGGCCCCAAGCAUUAUCCGGAAUCACUGGGCGUAAAGGGUGUCCAGGCGGCCCUGUUAGUCGUUCGUAAAAUCCGCGCGCUUAACGUGCGGCUCGCGAACGAAACGGCAGGGCUCGAGAGCGCGAGAGGUAGAGGGAACUCACGGUGGAGGGGUGAAAUCCGUUGAUAUCGUGGGGAACACCAAAGGCGAAGGCACUCUACUGGCGCGUUUCUGACGCUCACACACGAAAGCCAGGGGAGCG